GAUAUAGAAAUGAAUGGAGGGAGUACUUUUGUACAAUUUUCUAUCUUAAUCCUCGCACUUUCUUUGUUUUUUUCUUGCAAAGUAAUAGAAGAACAAAAUGGGUUGUUCUGGCUACUUCUGCCAAACACUAAGAUGACCUCAAUGGUAAACUACUAAGCUUUUCUACAUAAAUCUAUGCAAUCUUGAUUUGGAGUGCUUGGAAUAUGGUUUAAGAAAAUUUUGAGAAGAUACUAUUCUCUAGAAAUAUUUAGUGUAUGUAGAGGUUGUACAUGGGAAUGGAACUUAUUGUAAGACAAGUUUGGAUAAGAAUACAAUGAUAGAGAAGAGGUUGAAUAAUGGGCUUCUUCAUGGAAAUUUGAAGAAAACUUCAAAAAUUGGUGAAGUUGGUUACCACCUCUUAGUGCUUAUUGUUUUGUUCACAAUGAAAAGAGAAACUUCUUUCAUGUAGUAUUGGUUACUUUCAAGAUGGAAGUGGAAUUGAUUUUAUCAAAAAUAUUGUAGUGUUUUAGAUUGUAAAAUGAGGAGAGGAUCCCACAAAGCUUUAGGUAUUUUAGGUUAGAUAUAGAAGAGUAAAUUGGCCGAUUAAAGAGAAUAAAGGUCGAGAACUACUUUUAUGAGUACUUGCAAGAAGGAGAUUGGGUCAUUUCCUCUGGGUGAAAGAUAUUGGUGUACUAGAAUGUUUGUUGCUAAUCACAGUGUAUUUAGAUACUAUGGCUGCAAAGUAGGCUGCAAAGCCUAACAAGUUAUUAUGUGCUCAAAAUCACAAUUCGGAGAAGGAAGGCAAAGCUACUAAAGAGAACAAAGAAAAUAUAAAUGGAGAACUUAAGGCCUUGAAAUCUUCGGAAGUUUCUGUUGGUUUGAACAAGGAAAGCUUACAUGCCACCUAGCUUAAUGGGGAGGCCAAGCUUACAGCAAAUGGAUCAGUUACAAAAUUAUGAGAUGAAGUAUGUUAAAUCAGCCAUGUAUCAGAAAAGCAAUCUGUAGCUAAGGGGAUAGCAAAUGGGGUUUCUAAUAGAUGCUAGCUUUAGUUGUUUAGUGUGUAAAGUUUUAUCAUGAUACAUACAUCCGAUUUUUAUAUAAGUUCAUUUUUAAGAUACGCCUUUAAGAGAUUUGCUUUAUUAGUUAAUGUAGUACAUAAUAUAUAUUUUUCCGGAAGUUCAUAAAUCA